rnacentral:rRNA from 1 species
AACGUGAUUUUUGUGGAAAUCUUUCGGGAAUGGAAAUGAAAUGAAAGUGACGAACGGGUGAGUAACACGUGAGCAACCUACCUUACACAGGGGGAUAGCCGUUGGAAACGACGAUUAAUACCGCAUGAGACCACAGAAUCGCAUGAUAUAGGGGUCAAAGAUUUAUCGGUGUAAGAAGGGCUCGCGUCUGAUUAGCUAGUUGGAAGGGUAAAGGCCUACCAAGGCGACGAUCAGUAGCCGGUCUGAGAGGAUGAACGGCCACAUUGGAACUGAGACACGGUCCAAACUCCUACGGGAGGCAGCAGUGGGGAAUAUUGCACAAUGGGGGGAACCCUGAUGCAGCGACGCCGCGUGAGCGAAGAAGGUUUUCGAAUCGUAAAGCUCUGUCCUAUGAGAAGAUAAUGACGGUAUCAUAGGAGGAAGCCCCGGCUAAAUACGUGCCAGCAGCCGCGGUAAUACGUAUGGGGCGAGCGUUGUCCGGAAUUAUUGGGCGUAAAGGGUACGUAGGCGGCCUUUUAAGUCAGGUGUGAAAGCGUGAGGCUUAACCUCAUUAAGCACUUGAAACUGGAAGGCUUGAGUGAAGGAGAGGAAAGUGGAAUUCCUAGUGUAGCGGUGAAAUGCGUAGAUAUUAGGAGGAAUACCGGUGGCGAAGGCGACUUUCUGGACUUUUACUGACGCUCAGGUACGAAAGCGUGGGGAGCAAACAGG